UACGGGGGGGGCAAGCGUUGUUCGGAAUUACUGGGCGUAAAGGGCUCGUAGGCGGCCAACUAAGUCAGACGUGAAAUCCCUCGGCUUAACCGGGGAACUGCGUCUGAUACUGGAUGGCUUGAGGUUGGGAGAGGGAUGCGGAAUUCCAGGUGUAGCGGUGAAAUGCGUAGAUAUCUGGAGGAAUACCGGUGGCGAAGGCGGCAUCCUGGACCGAGAUUGACACUGAUGAGCGAAAGCUAGGGGAGCAAACGGG
rnacentral:rRNA from 1 species